rnacentral:rRNA from 1 species
UACGUAGGGUGCAAGCGUUAAUCGGAAUUACUGGGCGUAAAGCGUGCGCAGGCGGUUUGUUACGAACAGAUGUGAAAUCCCCGGGCUUAACCUGGGAACUGCAUUUGUGACUGGCAAGCUAGAGUAUGGCAGAGGGGGGUAGAAUUCCACGUGUAGCAGUGAAAUGCGUAGAGAUGUGGAGGAAUACCGAUGGCGAAGGCAGCCCCCUGGGCCAAUACUGACGCUCAUGCAC